CUUUUCUGCAUGGCAGUGGCUGUGGCCAGAGCUCAGGUACAGCAGGAGCCGUCAUUGGAAACCACCGAAGCCACCGGCAUCAACAUCACCUGCUCGCAUCCCAAAAUCCAGACCAGCGAAACCAUCUACUGGUACCGUCAGCUCCCUGGCCGAGAACCCGAAUACCUCGCGAGCGUUCACAAAGAGUCCAGAAAGCUGCCGGGCAUUGCAGGGGAGCUGUGGGUGUCGGCAGACCGGCGCUGGAGCGCGCUGCGGCUCGGUGGGCCCCGGCGCGGGGACGCGGCCGUGUAUUACUGCGCGCUGGGCCCACGGGCAGAGGAGCCGGGGCUGCGGCCGGGCACGAACCGCCGCGGGCGGGGCCGGGCGGGGCCAGCAGGGGGCGCUGCCGCUCCGCCCGCCGGGGCCGCCUCGCCCCGCUCGGCCCGGGACCCCGGGGCGCUGCCGGCACCGGCACCGGCAAUGGCACCGGCAAUGGGACCGGCAAUGGGACCGGCACCGGCAUAGACACCAGUAUUGACAUUGACACCAGUAACCAUUGACACCCGGGAUGGCAGCUGACCAAGGAGCGGCACUGACAGGCACACAGGGGCUAAUUCAUGAAGUGCUGUCACCUCAGUGGGUCAUGACAUGAGUGGGGUUUGCAGUCAGGCUUUCUGAUGUCACAAAGGAAUCCCCAUCUCUGUCGCUGCAGAAAUGUCUCUGUUCCAUACUACAGGUGUCAUAUGAAGCAGCAUUCUCACCUGGAUGUGUAAAUCAGGUGUAUUUUCAAUGCCGCCUGAGCCUGGAAAUCACUUCUCUACAUGUUUCAUUUCCAUCCUCACUUUUCCCCAAGAACUCAUGGAUCAGCAUUCAGCACAUUCCUGAAAAAGUAGAAUAUCCGGAAAGGAAAACAAUAAAUCGG